UAGAGGAAGUAAAAGUCGUAACAAGGUUUCCGUAGGUGAACCUGCGGAAGGAUCAUUAUUGAAAUAAACCUGAUGGGUUGUUGCUGGUUCUCUAGGGAGCAUGUGCACGCUUGUCAUCUUUAUAUCUCCACCCGUGCACCUUUUGUAGACCUGGAUAUCUCUCUGAGUGCUAGCCACUCAGGUUUGAGUAUUGACUUUGCGUCUUUUCUUACAUUUCCAGGCCUAUGUUUUUCCAUAUACCCAAUGUAUGUCAUAGAAUGUAUUCAAUGGGCCUCUGUGCCUAUAAAAUCUAUACAACUUUCAGCAACGGAUCUCUUGGCUCUCGCAUCGAUGAAGAACGCAGCGAAAUGCGAUAAGUAAUGUGAAUUGCAGAAUUCAGUGAAUCAUCGAAUCUUUGAACGCACCUUGCGCUCCUUGGUAUUCCGAGGAGCAUGCCUGUUUGAGUGUCAUUAAUAUAUCAACCUCUUCAAAUUUUUUGUUUGAUGAGUGUUGGAUGUGGGGGACUCCUUUGCUGGUCUAAACAGGUCAGCUCCCCUGAAAUGCAUUAGCAGAACCAUUUGCAGAUCGUUCAUUGGUGUGAUAAUUAUCUACGCUAUUAACGUGAAGUAGUUCAGCUUCUAACAGUCCAUUGACUUGGACAAUUUUCAUUAAUGUGACCUCAAAUCAGGUAGGACUACCCGCUGAACUUAAGCAUAUCAAUAA
rnacentral:rRNA from 1 species